rnacentral:rRNA from 1 species
CCUACGGGUGGCAGCAGUGGGGAAUAUUGCACAAUGGGCGAAAGCCUGAUGUAGCAACGCCGCGUGAAGGAAGAAGUACUCCGGUAUGUAAAGCCCUGUCAGCAGGGAAGAAAAUGACGGUACCUGACCAAGAAGCCCCGGCUAACUACGUGCCAGCAGCCGCGGUAAUACGUAGGGGGCAAGCGUUAUCCGGAUUUACUGGGUGUAAAGGGAGCGUAGACGGCAAGGCAAGUCUGGAGUGAAAGCCCGUGGCUCAACCACGGGACUGCUUUGGAAACUGUGUUGCUGGAGUGCAGGAGGGGUAAGCGGAAUGCCUAGUGUCGCGGUGAAAUGCGUAGAGCUUAGGUGGAA